rnacentral:tRNA from 1 species
UACUUUAAUAGCUUAUGAGGAGUGUGACUUUGAAGGUGUCGAGGAAGUAUAUUUACUUUAAAGUAU